rnacentral:rRNA from 1 species
AUUGAACGCUGGCGGCAGGCCUAAUACAUGCAAGUCGAACGGUAACAGGAAGCACCUUGCUGCUUCGCUGACGUGUGGAGGACGGGUGUGACAUGUCUGGGAAGCUGCCUGAUGGAGGGGGAUAACUACUGAAAACGGUGACAAAUACCGCAAAAUUUCGCUAGACCAUAGUGGGGGAUCUACGGGCCCCUAUCCAUCGGUUCUGCCCAGAUGGGAUUUGUAUGUUGGUGGGGUAACGGCUAACCAAGGCGACGAUCCCUAGCUGGUCUGAGAGGAUGACCGGCCACACUGGAACUGAGACACGGUCCAGACUCCUACGGGAGGAAGCAGUGGGGAAUAUUGGACAUUGGGGGAAAGCCUGAUGCAGAAAGGCGGGGGGGAUGAGGAAGUUCUUCGGGUUUUAAAGUACGUUCAGCGGGGAGGAAGGGAGUGAAGUUAAAACCUUUACUCAUUGACGGUACCUGAAGAGGAAGCGCCGGCUAACUACGUG